UGCAUAUUUUAUUGGCCUAGAUAACUCUU
rnacentral:piRNA from 1 species